rnacentral:rRNA from 1 species
AUUGAACGCUGGCGGCAUGCCUUACACAUGCAAGUCGAACGGUAAUAGGUCUUCGGAUGCUGACGAGUGGCGAACGGGUGAGUAAUACAUCGGAACGUGCCCGAUCGUGGGGGAUAACGAAGCGAAAGCUUUGCUAAUACCGCAUACGAUCUACGGAUGAAAGCAGGGGACCGCAAGGCCUUGCGCGAACGGAGCGGCCGAUGGCAGAUUAGGUAGUUGGUGGGAUAAAAGCUUACCAAGCCGACGAUCUGUAGCUGGUCUGAGAGGACGACCAGCCACACUGGGACUGAGACACGGCCCAGACUCCUACGGGAGGCAGCAGUGGGGAAUUUUGGACAAUGGGCGAAAGCCUGAUCCAGCCAUGCCGCGUGCAGGAUGAAGGCCUUCGGGUUGUAAACUGCUUUUGUCAGGGAAGAAAUCUUCUGGGUUAAUACCUCGGGAGGAUGACGGUACCUGAAGAAUAAGCACCGGCUAACUACGUGCCAGCCGCCGCCGUAAUAC